UCUGCUUGUGAAUGCAGAGGAUCGGUCGAGCCCUGCUCUGCUCAUUCGAGUCUCGGAACAAGACCUCUGCGGCAUGCAGAAGCUGGGCGAGGCUGGCGUGGCACCUGUGAAGGGCUGGGAUGUAUUAGGCAGCAAGUGCACAGUGAGUUCUUGAAGUUGAUGUGUUCGGAAGCAGGAAAAAUUGGCAAGCGUAAGGAUAACUGCAACCUUGUCAAGGACCAAAUUGUGGUGGCUAGAUGACCCAGUCAGAACCUCUCUAAAACAGCAGGUCCUGUGGAGUGCUCCCGGUAUGCAGUGGAGAGUGCCUACCAAAAGUGGUCCAAGGAAGUACAACUGGUAAACCACAAGGUCAUGGCUGCCCAAGGCUCGUUGACGGGCGUAGGAAGUGAAGGCUUGUCUGGUUCGUUCUUACAGAAGAGCUAUUGUAGCACAAAUUGCUAGAACACCCAGUGCAUCACAGCUUGCUGCAUAGCUCCAGACCGGUCAGAGUGCACAUGCUUACCUGUUCACCACCAAAAGUCCCUACAGUGGGACAUUAACAUCAGAACUGGACCGUGGAACAAUUGGGGGGGCGUCUGGUCUGAUGAUACACAUUUUUUUUUACAUCAUGUGGAUGGCCAGGUACAUGUGUGCUGCUUACAUGAGGAAGAGAUGGCACCAGGAUGCACCAUGGGAAGAAGAGGUACUGUGAUGCUCUGGGCACUGUUCUGCUGGGAACCUUUGGGUCCUGGCAUUCGUGUAGAUGUUGCUUCACCACUGUACCACCUACAUAACAUUGUUGCAUGCAAAGUACACCUCUUCAUGGUAAGUGUAUUCCCUAAUGGAAGUGACCUCUUUCAACAGAGUAAUGUUCCCUGCCACAUUGCAAAAAUUGUUCCAAGAAUGGUUUGAGGUACAUGGCAAGGAGUUCAAGGUGUUGACUUGCCCUCCAAAUUUCCCAGAACUCAGUCCAAUUGAGCAUCUGUGGGAUGUACUGGAAAAACAAAGGAUCUGCUGCUAACAUCUUGGUGCCAGAUACCACAGGCCACCUUCAGAGGUCUAAUGGUGUCAGUGGGUCGGAGCUGUUUUGGCUGCACAAGAGGGACCCAUACAGUACUAGCUAGGUUGUUCUAAUGCUAUGGCCGAUUGGUGUAAAACCAUGGGAAAUAUGCAGGGGAAACUUCUGAAAUCACUGAAGUUUAAUUUCAGCUAUAACAGUAUUAAUACUACUGAACGUCUAAAGUUAUUUAUCUGUGAUCUGUAUGAUGUCAAAGAUUGUUAAGAAUAGUUGUAGAUACCGAAUGUUUAUCUGAGUAUCUGUAAAAUAACUUUUUUUGGGGGGUUAGUUAAUGAAUGUAAGAAUCGAGAAGCAACCAAAAUUUGGACAUUAUGACCCCACUGCCUUCAUUUUGAAAUGCACCUGCACCAUGUUUUUGAAACCUACUUCCUCAUCUGCUGUCCAGACAGCAAAAGCCAAUGUUAGAAACAUAAUUAGGGUAAAACCAAGGAAACAGACUCCAUUUGAAACAUGACGGAUGGAGCCAGACCAUCAGUUUAUGCUUUUUUGCCAUCCCAAUUUAUGCAAAUAUGUUUUUACGCCCAAACAUAUUCAGCUGAUUGAAUAAAACAUAUCUAAAAACAAAACACUCGAACAUGAUCAGUUGAAAAUCUGACAAAGCCACAAAAACAUUGGGGCCAGGCGAGUACAAAGCUGAUGUACUUCCUUUAUUCUUUAUUGUAAGUUUAUUUACUGAAAUUAUAUGGCGCAACAUUUGUCCCGCAAGAAAACAAGUCUGUAUUCAUGCCUCUGCUCACUUCUCCCAUUCAGCUCAUCCAUCCACAGAAAACAUGGCACGUUGCUUUUGCGACAACAAAUGAUACAAAAGGACUUGAAGAGUAGAAGUUCUCAGCCUGGGUGGAGCACAGGCCGUCAUUUUCCAGGACAAACAUGAAAGUACCAAGAGCAUCUUUGCUUGCCAAAGACAGCAGAAUAUUCGAGCUGUUCCGAGAGAUCCCCCCCUCCCCCAAUUUUUUUUUUUAACCAAUGUACAACAAAUUAAAUGUACAAACGGUGGUGUAAUAACUUAAAAGCAUCAACUUCAACACAGACAGUUAAGUGAAAUAUUGUGGACAUGUAAAUCUUCCAAUAGUUUAAUAACAAAGGGACCCAGGUGGAUGAAGCACACAGCACAUAGUACAACCAAUACAGUGGAGAUGAAAGUAUAUUUGAGAAUGAAUCAAAAGAAAACGAUAACCUCAUACAUUUUGUGUAGUACUACACAGGGAUCACAUGACAAAAUGACACUCACAAUAUCAAUGGCUUUUGUUUUUUGAAUGUUUUUUUUAUACAAUGUACAAAUGUGUUGAUUUCACGUUUUGUGCCCUGAAGGCUAAAGAGGCAUAUUUACAAUACAUUAUUAACAAUAUGUCUGUCCAUGCAAAUAAGUAUUUUUAAUACUUGUUAUAAGUUUAAUAUUCAUAAAACCUUGACAAGUUUCCAAGUAAAGUAAGAUACAGGAGGGCAUUACUCACAAAAUGACAAACUUCUAGCAGAAAGUUUUUACAUGUAUUUCAUAAGAAAUGCUUUUUAAAAAUCAGCUUUACAGAUAUGAAGUUUUUUUUUUUUUUCUUUCAGUCAACAAAUGCACCUUGGGUCAUGUUGUAUAAUGAAAUAAAAAAGGCAAGGCUUUUGGGAA